rnacentral:rRNA from 1 species
UACAGAGGGGGCAAGCGUUGUUCGGAAUUACUGGGCGUAAAGGGCGCGUAGGCGGCCUGUUAAGUCGAACGUGAAAUCCCCAAGCUUAACUUGGGAACUGCGUCCGAUACUGGCAGGCUUGAAUUCGGGAGAGGGAUGUGGAAUUCCAGGUGUAGCGGUGAAAUGCGUAGAUAUCUGGAGGAACACCGGUGGCGAAGGCGGCGAUCCUGGACCGAAAUUGACGCUGAUGCGCGAAAGCCAGGGGAGCAAAACGGGG